rnacentral:lncRNA from 1 species
UUUGGUUAAUUCUAAUACAUUUGAAAUAUAUAUUAAAUGAAACUUAUAUGUUGAUUGAUGAUUAAUGCAUCGAUAUCAUGUAAAUGUGAACUGAAAUAAUGAUUUGAUAAAGCACAAUAACUCCUAAACCGAUGAAUAUUGGAUAGAGUACAACUGACAUGUCGAUAGGUUGUUUUGCGUGCGGUAUGGGAUUGGUAUAAGAUGUGAUGAUGAUUUCUGAAUAUACCGAGGUCCUACAUAUGCUGCGAACUAUCGUGUUAUAUUACAGCAUUUGCUUGUAUGAGUGUCUAGUGUGUUCUGGAUGGUUAAUAGUGUACUCGUAUUCAUAUAUCUUUCAUCG